rnacentral:antisense_RNA from 1 species
CUUCACCGAACCCAGCCGCAGCGGGUUCUCGGGCGACCGGCCGGCGCCGUACGUCGCGACGAUCGCCUGCGCCUC